GAUGAACGCUAGCGGCAGGCCUAAUACAUGCAAGUCGAACGGCAGUAGACCCAGCAAUGGUUUUGCGAGAGUGGCGAACGGGUGCGUAACGCGUAUGCAACCUACCUCCAACUGGGGAAUAGCCCUGGGAAACCGGGAUUAAUACCGCAUAAGAUGGUAGAACCGCAUGGUUCAGCCAUUAAAGUUUUNGCGGUUGGAGAUGGGCAUGCGUGCCAUUAGCUAGUUGGCGGGGUAAUAGCCCACCAAGGCGACGAUGGCUAGGGGUUCUGAGAGGAUGAUNCCCCCACACUGGUACUGAGAUACGGACCAGACUCCUACGGGAGGCAGCAGUAGGGAAUAUUGGUCAAUGGACGAAAGUCUGAACCAGCCAUGCCGCGUGCAGGAGGAAGGCGCUCUGCGAUGUAAACUGCUUUUGUACGGGAGAUAGCCGUUGCG
rnacentral:rRNA from 1 species